rnacentral:lncRNA from 1 species
CUCCGUUGUGAUGACAGGGGAGCAUAGAAUGUUCUCUGCUUCCGUUGACAGCUCCCACUGGGGCUGGUGCCAUGGCUUGUCCCACAGGGAGGGUGGCAGUGCAGCAGUGAGGCAGGAAUGAGGGGCUUCUCCUGGGGGUGCCUCUCCUGCCUUGGCUGUUCUGGAGAAGCACAUGGGCUUUACCAGCCUGGAUCUGCCCACACUUGGAGAGCUGCCCCUAUAUGGGGGAUGGACAGCAAAGAGGUGAUGGCUGCAGUGAUGGACAGAGCCAAGAGGUGAUGGACACAGUGAUGGACAGAGCCAAGAAGUGGUGGCUGCAGAGCAGCUGCAGCAAGGAGGUACCAGAGGUAAGGACGUAGCUCUGAAACCUCAGGAACGUGUGGAGAAGAGACAGAACCCUCUAGCCAAGAAGAAACGGGAAGCACUUACCAAUGGGCUGUCGUACCCUCCCAAAAAGAACAGACUCCACCACCACCAGUACAGCUCCGACCGGGAAAAUGACCGUAACCUGUGCCAGCACCUCGGGAAAAGGAAGAAAUUACCCAAGGGCCUCAGACAGAUGGCUUAAAAAUACAUAUUGGGAAAUCCUAUGGACUCAAAAUGGCUUCUCCAUGGAGAGCUUCCCUUACAGAGCUGAUGAGGUUGGAA